GGGGCUGACAGGAUUUGACAGCAAGGACAGUGGGACUGUAAGCAUGCCGGGCAUUGAAGAUGUGGCUCGUUAAAAACUAUCUUUAAACAAUAAUUGGCGAAACUAAUUACGCUCUCGCAGCCUAAUCGAAGCAUAGUAGAUAGGGCAUUCUCACACCUCAAGGAGGCGUGACGAGACAUUCCGCAGGAGGACCUGCCCGAUUCCGACUGAUCACGGGGUGCUCAUAAUUUCGGGCUGGUUCUACAGAGGCUCCGGCUACAGAACGAGAUAAAGGAGCUAAGGCAAAAUUGGGGUGCUUUUUCCCGGGUUUUGUUCGAAAAUCAAUAAAAGGCUAAGCAUGUAGAAAGCACUCUUGCUGCUUGUUUGGACGAGGGUUCGAAUCCCUCCAGCUCCACAA
rnacentral:tmRNA from 1 species